UUUCCGUAGGUGAACCUGCGGAAGGAUCAUUCAUAAUAAAGUGUUUUAUGGCACUUUUUAAAAAACCAUAUCCACCUUGUGUGCAAUGUUAGAUCUCGUCAAUCUUGGCGAGAUUUUUAUACAUCAACUCAUUCUUUAACUAAUUUGUCUGAAAAAUAUUAUGAAUACUUAAUUCAAAAUACAACUUUCAACAACGGAUCUCUUGGCUCACGCAUCGAUGAAGAACACAGC
rnacentral:misc_RNA from 1 species